UACGUAGGGGGCAAGCGUUGUCCGGAUUUAUUGGGCGUAAAGAGCGUGUAGGCGGUCAGGUAGGUCCGUUGUGAAAACUCGAGGCUCAACCUCGAGACGCCGAUGGAAACCAUCUGGCUAGAGUCCGGAAGAGGAGAGUGGAAUUCCUGGUGUAGCGGUGAAAUGCGCAGAUAUCAGGAAGAACACCCGUGGCGAAGGCGGCUCUCUGGGACGGUACUGACGCUGAGACGCGAAAGCGUGGGGAGCGAACAGG
rnacentral:rRNA from 1 species